GGGUUGUGAGGUUAAGCGACUAAGCGUACACGGUGGAUGCCCUGGCAGUCAGAGGCGAUGAAGGACGUGCUAAUCUGCGAUAAGCGUCGGUAAGGUGAUAUGAACCGUUAUAACCGGCGAUUUCCGAAUGGGGAAACCCAGUGUGAUUCGUCACACUAUCAUUAACUGAAUCCAUAGGUUAAUGAGGCGAACCGGGGGAACUGAAACAUCUAAGUACCCCGAGGAAAAGAAAUCAACCGAGAUUCCCCCAGUAGCGGCGAGCGAACGGGGAGCAGCCCAGAGCCUGAAUCAGUGUGUGUGUUAGUGGAAGCGUCUGGAAAGGCGUGCGAUACAGGGUGACAGCCCCGUACACAAAAAUGCACAUACUGUGAGCUCGAUGAGUAGGGCGGGACACGUGGUAUCCUGUCUGAAUAUGGGGGGACCAUCCUCCAAGGCUAAAUACUCCUGACUGACCGAUAGUGAACCAGUACCGUGAGGGAAAGGCGAAAAGAACCCCGGCGAGGGGAGUGAAAAAGAACCUGAAACCGUGUACGUACAAGCAGUGGGAGCACGCUUAGGCGUGUGACUGCGUACCUUUUGUAUAAUGGGUCAGCGACUUAUAUUCUGUAGCAAGGUUAACCGAAUAGGGGAGCCGAAGGGAAACCGAGUCUUAACUGGGCGUUAAGUUGCAGGGUAUAGACCCGAAACCCGGUGAUCUAGCCAUGGGCAGGUUGAAGGUUGGGUAACACUAACUGGAGGACCGAACCGACUAAUGUUGAAAAAUUAGCGGAUGACUUGUGGCUGGGGGUGAAAGGCCAAUCAAACCGGGAGAUAGCUGGUUCUCCCCGAAAGCUAUUUAGGUAGCGCCUCGUGAAUUCAUCUCCGGGGGUAGAGCACUGUUUCGGCAAGGGGGUCAUCCCGACUUACCAACCCGAUGCAAACUGCGAAUACCGGAGAAUGUUAUCACGGGAGACACACGGCGGGUGCUAACGUCCGUCGUGAAGAGGGAAACAACCCAGACCGCCAGCUAAGGUCCCAAAGUCAUGGUUAAGUGGGAAACGAUGUGGGAAGGCCCAGACAGCCAGGAUGUUGGCUUAGAAGCAGCCAUCAUUUAAAGAAAGCGUAAUAGCUCACUGGUCGAGUCGGCCUGCGCGGAAGAUGUAACGGGGCUAAACCAUGCACCGAAGCUGCGGCAGCGACGCUUAUGCGUUGUUGGGUAGGGGAGCGUUCUGUAAGCCUGUGAAGGUGUGCUGUGAGGUAUGCUGGAGGUAUCAGAAGUGCGAAUGCUGACAUAAGUAACGAUAAAGCGGGUGAAAAGCCCGCUCGCCGGAAGACCAAGGGUUCCUGUCCAACGUUAAUCGGGGCAGGGUGAGUCGACCCCUAAGGCGAGGCCGAAAGGCGUAGUCGAUGGGAAACAGGUUAAUAUUCCUGUACUUGGUGUUACUGCGAAGGGGGGACGGAGAAGGCUAUGUUGGCCGGGCGACGGUUGUCCCGGUUUAAGCGUGUAGGCUGGUUUUCCAGGCAAAUCCGGAAAAUCAAGGCCGAGGCGUGAUGACGAGGCACUACGGUGCUGAAGCAACAAAUGCCCUGCUUCCAGGAAAAGCCUCUAAGCAUCAGGUAACAUCAAAUCGUACCCCAAACCGACACAGGUGGUCAGGUAGAGAAUACCAAGGCGCUUGAGAGAACUCGGGUGAAGGAACUAGGCAAAAUGGUGCCGUAACUUCGGGAGAAGGCACGCUGAUACGUAGGUGAAGCGACUUGCUCGUGGAGCUGAAAUCAGUCGAAGAUACCAGCUGGCUGCAACUGUUUAUUAAAAACACAGCACUGUGCAAACACGAAAGUGGACGUAUACGGUGUGACGCCUGCCCGGUGCCGGAAGGUUAAUUGAUGGGGUUAGCGCAAGCGAAGCUCUUGAUCGAAGCCCCGGUAAACGGCGGCCGUAACUAUAACGGUCCUAAGGUAGCGAAAUUCCUUGUCGGGUAAGUUCCGACCUGCACGAAUGGCGUAAUGAUGGCCAGGCUGUCUCCACCCGAGACUCAGUGAAAUUGAACUCGCUGUGAAGAUGCAGUGUACCCGCGGCAAGACGGAAAGACCCCGUGAACCUUUACUAUAGCUUGACACUGAACAUUGAGCCUUGAUGUGUAGGAUAGGUGGGAGGCUUUGAAGUGUGGACGCCAGUCUGCAUGGAGCCGACCUUGAAAUACCACCCUUUAAUGUUUGAUGUUCUAACGUGGACCCGUGAUCCGGGUUGCGGACAGUGUCUGGUGGGUAGUUUGACUGGGGCGGUCUCCUCCUAAAGAGUAACGGAGGAGCACGAAGGUUGGCUAAUCCUGGUCGGACAUCAGGAGGUUAGUGCAAUGGCAUAAGCCAGCUUGACUGCGAGCGUGACGGCGCGAGCAGGUGCGAAAGCAGGUCAUAGUGAUCCGGUGGUUCUGAAUGGAAGGGCCAUCGCUCAACGGAUAAAAGGUACUCCGGGGAUAACAGGCUGAUACCGCCCAAGAGUUCAUAUCGACGGCGGUGUUUGGCACCUCGAUGUCGGCUCAUCACAUCCUGGGGCUGAAGUAGGUCCCAAGGGUAUGGCUGUUCGCCAUUUAAAGUGGUACGCGAGCUGGGUUUAGAACGUCGUGAGACAGUUCGGUCCCUAUCUGCCGUGGGCGCUGGAGAACUGAGGGGGGCUGCUCCUAGUACGAGAGGACCGGAGUGGACGCAUCACUGGUGUUCGGGUUGUCAUGCCAAUGGCACUGCCCGGUAGCUAAAUGCGGAAGAGAUAAGUGCUGAAAGCAUCUAAGCACGAAACUUGCCCCGAGAUGAGUUCUCCCUGACCCUUUAAGGGUCCUGAAGGAACGUUGAAGACGACGACGUUGAUAGGCCGGGUGUGUAAGCG
rnacentral:rRNA from 1 species